CGACCUUCUAGAUGGACCAGGAGCUCUACGUUCGUUAAGGCUGUUCUUUCCAACCCAGACAAGGUUGCACCGCCUGCAUUCUUCCAAGAGUGUCUUGGACGAAAGCAGGAAGUGGAACCUUGUUAGGGUUGGAAAGAACUGCCUUAAGGAAGUCGAUGCUCCAGGUCCGUCUAGGAGGACG
rnacentral:pre_miRNA from 1 species